rnacentral:rRNA from 1 species
UACGUAGGGUGCGAGCGUUAAUCGGAAUUACUGGGCGUAAAGCGCACGUAGGUGGCGACGUAAGUCGGGUGUGAAAGCCCCGGGCUCAACCUGGGAAUUGCAUUCGAGACUGCAUUGCUGGAGUACGGAAGAGGAAGGCGGAAUUCCCGGUGUAGCGGUGAAAUGCGUAGAUAUUGGGAGGAACACCGGUGGCGAAGGCGGGUCUCUGGGCCGUAACUGACGCUGAGGAGCGAAAGCAUGGGGAGCGAACAGG